rnacentral:rRNA from 1 species
GAACGCGAGCCGGCUCGCUCGUUUGCCAGCCCUAGGCGAGAGUAGUACUAGGAUGGGUGACCCCCUGGGAAGUCCUCGUGUUGCAUCCC